AGCCAUAGGCAUAUCACCCUGCAGCCCAGGAGUGAUUACUUAUGAAGCUAAGCAGGGCUGAGCCUGGUCAGUAGUUGGAUGGGAGACCACUAGGGAACACUAGGUUGCUGUUGGAA
ensembl:rRNA 5S_rRNA 5S ribosomal RNA